GACGAACGCUGGCGGCAUGCCUAACACAUGCAAGUCGAACGAGAAAUUCGGGUCUAGUGGCGCACGGGUGCGUAACGGGUGGGAACGUGCCCUUAGGGUCGGAAUCACUCCCCGAAAGGGGUGAUAAUACCGGGUAAUGUCUUCGAACCAAAGAUUUAUCGCCUUUGGAUGGGGCCGCGUUGGGGUAGGUAGUUGGUUGGGUAAGAGCCUGCCAAGGGGACGAUCCAUUGCUGGGCUGAGCGGAGGAUCAGCCACGCUGGGACUGAGACACGGCCCAGACGCCUACGGGACGCAGCAGUGGGGAAUAUUGGACAAUGGGCGAGAGCCUGAUCCAGCAAUGCCGCGUGAGUGAUUAAGUCCUUAGGGUUGUAAAGCUCUUUUACCCGUGAUGAUAAUGACAGUACCGGGAGAAGAAGCGCCGGCUAACUCCGUG
rnacentral:rRNA from 1 species